GGCCUAACACAUGCAAGUCGAGCGGUAGAGAGAAGCUUGCUUCUCUUGAGAGCGGCGGACGGGUGAGUAAUGCCUAGGAAUCUGCCUGGUAGUGGGGGAUAACGUUCGGAAACGGACGCUAAUACCGCAUACGUCCUACGGGAGAAAGCAGGGGACCUUCGGGCCUUGCGCUAUCAGAUGAGCCUAGGUCGGAUUAGCUAGUUGGUGAGGUAAUGGCUCACCAAGGCGACGAUCCGUAACUGGUCUGAGAGGAUGAUCAGUCACACUGGAACUGAGACACGGUCCAGACUCCUACGGGAGGCAGCAGUGGGGAAUAUUGGACAAUGGGCGAAAGCCUGAUCCAGCCAUGCCGCGUGUGUGAAGAAGGUCUUCGGAUUGUAAAGCACUUUAAGUUGGGAGGAAGGGUUGUAGAUUAAUACUCUGCAAUUUUGACGUUACCGACAGAAUAAGCACCGGCUAACUCUGUGCCAGCAGCCGCGGUAAUACAGAGGGUGCAAGCGUUAAUCGGAAUUACUGGGCGUAAAGCGCGCGUAGGUGGUUUGUUAAGUUGGAUGUGAAAUCCCCGGGCUCAACCUGGGAACUGCAUUCAAAACUGACUGACUAGAGUAUGGUAGAGGGUGGUGGAAUUUCCUGUGUAGCGGUGAAAUGCGUAGAUAUAGGAAGGAACACCAGUGGCGAAGGCGACCACCUGGACUAAUACUGACACUGAGGUGCGAAAGCGU
rnacentral:rRNA from 1 species